rnacentral:rRNA from 1 species
UACAGAGGUCUCAAGCGUUGUUCGGAUUCAUUGGGCGUAAAGGGUGCGUAGGUGGCGAGGUAAGUCGGAUGUGAAAUCUCCGAGCUCAACUCGGAAAUGGCAUUGGAAACUACCUUGCUCGAGGGUUGGAGGGGGGACUGGAAUGCUUGGUGUAGCAGUGAAAUGCGUAGAUAUCAAGCGGAACACCAGUGGCGAAGGCGAGUCCCUGGACAACUCCUGACACUGAGGCACGAAAGCUAGGGGAGCAAACAGG